UACGUAGGUGGCAAGCGUUGUCCGAAAUUACUGGGUGUAAAGGGAGCGUAGGCGGGUACGCAGGUUGGAUGUUUAAUCUAUGGGCUCAACCCAUAAUCGCAUUCAAAACCGCGUAUCUUGAGUGAAGUAGAGGCAGAUGGAAUUCCUAGUGUAGCGGUGGAAUGCGUAGAUAUUAGGAGGAACACCAGUGGCGAAGGCGGUCUGCUGGGCUUUAACUGACGCUGAGGCUCGAAAGCGUGGGGAGCAAACAGG
rnacentral:rRNA from 1 species